rnacentral:rRNA from 1 species
AGCAGCCGCGGUAAUUCCAGCUCCAAUAGCGUAUAUUAAAGUUGUUGCAGUUAAAAAGCUCGUAGUUGAAUAUCGGGAUCAAUAUGUCGGUCGUGCCUUCGGUACGUACUGGUAUCAUUGGUCUCUCCUUUCUGACGAACCAUGAUGUCAUUAAUUUGGUGUUAUGGGGAGUUAGGACUGUUACUUUGAAAAAAUUAGAGUGUUUAAAGCAGGCUUUAGCUUGAAUACAUUAGCAUGGAAUAAUGAAAUAGGACGUUCGAACCUAUUUUGUUGGUUUCUAGGAUCAACGUAAUGAUUAAUAGGGAUAGUUGGGGGCAUUAGUAUUCAAUUGUCAGAGGUGAAAUUCUUGGAUUUAUUGAAGACUAACUACUGCGAAAGCAUUUGCCAAGGAUGUUUUCAUUAAUCAAGAACGAAAGUUAGGGGAUCGAAGACGAUCAGAUACCGUCGUAGUCUUAACCAUAAACUAUGCCGACUAGGGAUCGGAUGAUGUUAAUUUUUUAAUGACUCA